GCCGGGUCACGUGAUAACCAAGGCCCGCCCCCCCACCCCCCGACGUGGGCCGGGAGGUGCGGCUAUCCCCAGGCCCCGCCAGAGCUGCGACUGGCCCAGUCGCCCCCUGGGGGCCCUUUGCCACUCCCUCGGGAAGGAGAGCCCAGCCGAGCCCUUAGUUCCCGGCGGCCCUUGCGGGGCACAGGUGAGCCCUGGCUGCGCGCAGCCCCUCCUCCCCGGCGUCUCCCAGAUGGGCAGCAGGAGGCUCCGGAGGUGGCACCCAGGUUCUGAGCUGCCCUAGGUCUGCAGACUAGUGGGCUUCGGCCAGAGACAUGGCCCAGCCGCUGGCCUUCGUCCUCGAUGUCCCUGAGACCCCGGGGGACCAGGGCAGCCAGGAUCCCAGCCCCUACGAUGAAAGCGAAGUACACGAUUCCUUCCACCAGCUCAUCCAAGAACAGAGCCAGUGGGUGGCCCAGGAGGGGCUGGAGCUGCAGCAGAGAGAGCAGGAGGCCCCAGGGAGUGGCCAGCAGACGCUCCCGCGGCCCGAGGGCACCCAGAGCACGGCCACACUCCGCAUCCUGGCCAGCAUGCCCAGCCGCACCAUUGGCCGCAGCCGAGGCGCCAUAAUCUCCCAGUACUACAGCCGCACAGUGCAGCUUCGGCGCAGGAGCAGCCGGCCCCUGCUCGGGAACUUUGUCCUCUCCGCCCGGCCCAGCCUCCGCCUGUACGACUUGGAGCUGGACCCCACAGCCCGGGAGGAGGAGGAGAAGCAGAGCCUCCUGGUGAAGGAGCUCCAGAGCCUGGCGGUGGCACAGCGGGACCACAUGCUUCGAGGGAUGCCCUUAAGCCUGGCUGAGAAACGCAGCCUGCGAGAGAAGAGCAGGACCCCGACGGGGAGGUGGAGAGGCCAGCGGGGCAGUGGCGGGGUCUGCUCCUGCUGUGGCCGGCUCAGAUAUGCCUGCGUGCUGGCCUUGCACAGCCUGGGGCUGGUGCUGCUCUCCGGCCUGCAGGCCCUGACGCCAUGGCGCUAUGCCCUGAAGCGCAUCGGGGGCCAGUUCGGCUCCAGCGUGCUCUCCUACUUCCUCUUCCUCAAAACCCUGCUGGCUUUCAACGCUGUCCUGCUGCUGCUGCUGGUGGCCUUCAUCAUGGGCCCGCAGGUCGCCUUCCCGCCCACCCUGCCGGGCCCUGCCCCCGUCUGCACAGGCCUGGAGCUCCUCACAGGCGCGGGCUGCUUCACCCACACUGUCAUGUUCUACGGCCACUACAGUAACGCCACGCUGAACCAGCCGUGUGGCAGCCCCCUGGACGGCAGCCAGUGCACACCCAGGGCGGGCGGCCUGCCCUACAACAUGCCCCUGGCCUACCUCUACACUGUGGGUGCAGGCUUCUUUAUCACCUGCAUCACCCUGGUGUACAGCAUGGCUCACUCUUUCGGGGAGAGCUACCGGGUGGGCAGCACCUCUGGCAUCCACGCUAUCACCGUCUUCUGCUCCUGGGACUACAAGGUGACGCAGAAGCGGGCCUCCCGCCUCCAGCAGGACAACAUUCGCACCCGGCUGAAGGAGCUGCUGGCUGAGUGGCAGCUGCGGCAGAGCCCCAGGAGCGUGUGCGGGAGGCUGCGGCAGGCGGCUGCGCUGGGGCUUGCAUGGCUGCUGUGUCUGGGGACUGCACUGGGCUGCGCUGUGGCCGUCCACGUCUUCUCAGAGUUCUUGAUCCAGAGUCCGGAGGCUGCUGGCCAGGAGGCUGCGCUGCUGGUCCUGCCCCUGGUGGUUGGCCUUCUCAACCUGGGGGCCCCCUACCUGUGCCGUGUUCUGGCCGCCCUGGAGCCGCAUGACUCCCCGGUGCUGGAGGUGUACGUGGCCAUCUGCAGGAACCUCAUCCUCAAGCUGGCCAUCCUGGGGACAUUGUGCUACCACUGGCUGGGCCGCAGGGUGGCUGUCCUGCAGGGCCAGUGCUGGGAGGACUUUGUGGGCCAGGAGCUGUACCGGUUCCUGGUGAUGGACUUCGUCCUCAUGCUUCUGGACACGCUUUUUGGGGAGCUGGUGUGGAGCAGGAUUAUCUCCGAGAAGAAGCUGAAGAGGCGGCGGAAGCCGGAGUUUGACAUCGCCCGGAAUGUCCUGGAGCUGAUUUACGGGCAGACUCUGACCUGGCUGGGGGUGCUCUUCUCACCCCUCCUCCCCGCCGUGCAGAUCAUCAAGCUGCUGCUCGUCUUCUACGUCAAGAAGACCAGCCUUCUGGCCAACUGCCAGGCGCCGCGCCGGCCCUGGCUGGCCUCACACAUGAGCACGGUCUUCCUCACGCUGCUCUGCUUCCCCGCCUUCCUGGGCGCUGCCGUCUUCCUCUGCUACGCAGUCUGGCAGGUGAAGCCCUCGAGCACCUGUGGCCCCUUCCGGACCCUGGACAGCAUGUACGAGGCUGGCAGGGUGUGGGUGCGCUACCUGGAGGCGGCGGGCCCCAGGGUCUCCUGGCUGCCCUGGGUGCACCGGUACCUGGUGGAAAACACAUUCUUCGUCUUCCUGGUGUCAGCCCUGCUGCUGGCCGUGAUCUACCUCAACAUCCAGGUGGUGCGGGGCCAGCGGAGGGUCAUCUGCCUGCUCAAGGAGCAGAUCAGCAACGCUUGCAUCCUGCUGCUGGGCUCUGCCCUCCCCCCAGGGUUCCCCGUCCACUCCCGUUGCCAUUUGUCCUCCUGCAGGUUUUUACUCUGGGGCUGGAGGGGGAAGACAAAAUCUUCUUAAUCAACAAGCUUCACUCCAUCUACGAGAGGAAGGAGAGGGAGGAGAGGAGCAGGGUUGGGACAACCGAGGAGACUGCAGCACCCCCUGCGCUGCUCACAGAGGAACGGGAUGACUAGGGGGAUGGUGAUGGGCCUCACGGGCCCGCCCAGCACCCCCCAGCACCCUGAGACCACACUGGUGCCUCCCAGUGACCCUGCUGGGACAUAAGGACAAGGAAGACACUGUCUCGCCUCUCGAAAGCCGCAGCUGCGCCUGGGCUGGAGCCAGAAGGGUGGGUGAAUCCGGCUUGGGCAUCCACAGUGAACUCUGCCCUGCCUGGGACUCUACUUAUUCUGAUUAAAGGGGUUUUGCAGAUGG